GAUGAACGCUAGCUACAGGCUUAACACAUGCAAGUCGAGGGGAAACGGCAUUAAGUGCUUGCACUUUUUGGACGUCGACCGGCGCACGGGUGAGUAACGCGUAUCCAACCUUCCCAUGACUAAGGGAUAACCUGCCGAAGGGCAGACUAAUACCUUAUGGUCUUCACUGACGGCAUCAGAUGUGAAGUAAAGAUUUAUCGGUUAUGGAUGGGGAUGCGUCUGAUUAGCUUGUUGGCGGGGUAACGGCCCACCAAGGCAACGAUCAGUAGGGGUUCUGAGAGGAAGGUCCCCCACAUUGGAACUGAGACACGGUCCAAACUCCUACGGGAGGCAGCAGUGAGGAAUAUUGGUCAAUGGGCGAGAGCCUGAACCAGCCAAGUAGCGUGCAGGAUGACGGCCCUAUGGGUUGUAAACUGCUUUUGUAUGGGGAUAAAGUCAAUCACGUGUGAUUGUUUGCAGGUACCAUACGAAUAAGGACCGGCUAAUUCCGUGCCAGCAGCCGCGGUAAUACGGAAGGUCCGGGCGUUAUCCGGAUUUAUUGGGUUUAAAGGGAGCGUAGGCUGGAGAUUAAGUGUGUUGUGAAAUGUAGACGCUCAACGUCUGACUUGCAGCGCAUACUGGUUUCCUUGAGUACGCACAACGUUGGCGGAAUUCGUCGUGUAGCGGUGAAAUGCUUAGAUAUGACGAAGAACUCCGAUUGCGAAGGCAGCUGACGGGAGCGCAACUGACGCUGAAGCUCGAAGGUGCGGGUAUCGAACAGG
rnacentral:rRNA from 1 species